rnacentral:rRNA from 1 species
UACGUAGGCAGCGAGCGUUGUUCGGAGUUACUGGGCGUAAAGGGUGUGUAGGCGGUUGUUUAAGUUUGGUGUGAAAUCUCCCGGCUCAACUGGGAGGGUGCGCCGAAUACUGGAUGACUUGGAGUGCGGGAGAGGAGAGUGGAAUUCCUGGUGUAGCGGUGAAAUGCGUAGAUAUCAGGAGGAACACCGGUGGUGUAGACGGCUCUCUGGACCGUAACUGACGCUGAGACACGAAAGCGUGGGUAGCAAACAGG